rnacentral:rRNA from 1 species
GACGAACGCUGGCGGCGUGCCUAAUACAUGCAAGUCGAACGAACCGCGACUAAGUGCUUGCACUAAGUCAAGGUGAGUGGCGAACGGGUGAGUAACACGUGGGUAACCUACCUCAUAGUGGGGGAUAACAGUCGGAAACGACUGCUAAUACCGCAUAGGACAUAGGAUCACAUGAUCCAGUGAGGAAAGGUGGCGCAAGCUAUCGCUAAGAGAUGGACCCGCGGUGCAUUAGCUAGUUGGUAAGGUAACGGCUUACCAAGGCAACGAUGCAUAGCCGACCUGAGAGGGUGAUCGGCCACACUGGAACUGAGACACGGUCCAGACUCCUACGGGAGGCAGCAGUAGGGAAUCUUCCGCAAUGGGCGAAAGCCUGACGGAGCAACGCCGCGUGAGUGAUGAAGGUCUUCGGAUCGUAAAACUCUGUUAUUAGGGAAGAACAUAUGUGUAAGUAACUGUGCACAUCUUGACGGUACCUAAUCAGAAAGCCACGGCUAACUACGUG